rnacentral:rRNA from 1 species
AUGUGGGAGGCCUACCUGCAGUCGAGCGGUAGAGAGGUGCUUGCACCUCUUGAGAGCGGCGGACGGGUGAGUAAUGCCUAGGAAUCUGCCUGGUAGUGGGGGAUAACGCUCGGAAACGGACGCUAAUACCGCAUACGUCCUACGGGAGAAAGCAGGGGACCUUCGGGCCUUGCGCUAUCAGAUGAGCCUAGGUCGGAUUAGCUAGUUGGUGAGGUAAUGGCUCACCAAGGCGACGAUCCGUAACUGGUCUGAGAGGAUGAUCAGUCACACUGGAACUGAGACACGGUCCAGACUAAUACGGGAGGCAGCAGUGGGGAAUAUUGGACAAUGGGCGAAAGCCUGAUCCAGCCAUGCCGCGUGUGUGAAGAAGGUCUUCGGAUUGUAAAGCACUUUAAGUUGGGAGGAAGGGCAUUAACCUAAUACGUUAGUGUUUUGACGUUACCGACAGAAUAAGCACCGGCUAACUCUGUGCCAGCAGCCGCGGUUAUACAGAGGGUGCAAGCGUUAAUCGGAAUUACUGGGCGUAAAGCGCGCGUAGGUGGUUCGUUAAGUUGGAUGUGAAAGCCCCGGGCUCAACCUGGGAACUGCAUUCAAAACUGUCGAGCUAGAGUAUGGUAGAGGGUGGUGGAAUUUCCUGUGUAGCGGUGAAAUGCGUAAAAA